rnacentral:lncRNA from 1 species
CGUCGCAGUUGUGAGAUGAGGGAACAAUAUCCUCAAGCUUCUUUCCAUUGAAAAUGUCAAUGCCGACAAAGUGGCACUUGGCGUGGCCAUGCUUCCCAGUCUUGGAAGUGGACACCUCAACAACCUAAAGAGAGUAUACAGGAAUUAUUGUCAGAUCAAAACUUGUUGGAUUGCAAGAUCUAAAGAGAGAAUAUGGCUACCGGAUGUACAAACUAUAAAGGAAUAUGGUGUGGCAAGCAAACAUAGGGUAGUAAGAAAUAUUGAAAUCCAGUAUUCCAGUAUGAAAACAUGUAUCAAUCCAGACACUGAUGACACAAAUUGAAUGGCAUGUCAACUCAUACCAGCAUGAACAGAUAAUGAAUUCAGACAAUAUUUCAUGCAUGAAGGACAUUGCUACAGAUAGCAACUAUACAGAGGGAAGGUGCUGGGAGCAAAAGUGAUAAAAAAGAACUCCCUUGGCAAGUAGAAGCAUACAAACUACAUGGAAAUAGUCCUAGUUUAACCAGCAUUGCAGAUCUAAACAUGUCGUUCAGAACUGCAGAAUAAACAGUGCAAGGAGCAUUAAAUUCUUGCAAAAAAGAUAUGAACUCUCUGCUUUCUCCAAAGAACCUUGCUGGAUUUUUUUGCAGUAUUACAAAUAUGUAACUGAAACAUAUUCAUUGACGGUCAGGACAGGUAUCCUGUUGACAGCCAGGGUUAAUUUGUGGUUGAACCAUUCAUCAUUAAACAAAAAAAAAGUCUAGACAGAUUCAAAGGAAGACAUCCAGAACCACAACAGGGGAGCCGCAGAUGCCUAGGCAGCCCCAAAGAUCACGUAAUUCAGAUACAAAUCAUGACCAAGACUGAAACUAUACAAAGCGCAUCGAAAGAUCAAAGCUUUCUACUACACUGCAAAGUCGUCUUGCGGGUGAAUCUACUGGAUCCGUCUCACACUUGGGACGCCUCUGAAUCCGCAAGUAACCGCAAGUUUCAGAGCGCACAAAUCAGUACGGGAAAACAAAAUAGAUAUCAAAGCAGUUUGUCCGCGACACCUCUAAAUCAACAAACAAUAGGAGAUUUGUGUUGCCAUUAAUUCUUUAUGGUCGUAACAAGCGAGAGGGGGAUGCACCGGUACCGUACCUUGCAGGGGCGGUUCUUGAUGACGAUGAAACCGUUCUUGCGGAUGGUGCCGGCCUGCUGCGGGUAGGUCUUGGAGGCGCCGGCGUCGGCCUUGGACUCGAAGUGGUGCUCCUCCGAGUCCGACAUGUCGGAGAAUCUAAAAGGAGUCCUGGUAAACACAAGAACAGCAGCAGCAAGAAGCAGAGCACAGGAAUAUUAGAGAAGAAACAAAAACGAAGAGAGUUGGCGAAUUUCACCAAGAGAUCUGAAUC